GGUAGCCUCCUCCCAGUGAAUAGACUGUUGCCGUGUCCUGCCUGCAGUCUGCCAUCCACUGUGGAACGUCACUCCAGGACUUUUCUUCUAACUUGAUGCAAACCAAUGACCUCAUUUGGCACUCAGCACAGUAAACAGAUAUCUCUUGCAACACUGGAAGGAACACCAGGUUUUCUAGAGUUACUGAAGGAUAACAUGAAGGACUUCAAUCAUGUGGCAACUUUCUAAAGAGAUUUUCAAAGGUGGUUUCUCAAGAGUUUGAGUAUGAAGAACUGCCUAUACUUCAAAUGACAAAAUUACAGCUUCCUGGUAAAAUGCCAGAGACAGUCCAGUGAUGGCACACAGCACUGAUACUCAAUCAAAUGAACUCUGGGAAGUAGUCUAGCCACAUCCCAGUAGCCUCAAGACUAAUUUAGAUGGAAAUCAGAUGGAAAAUCUGAUGCUGCAGGUUGCUGUAUUAUAAGCUGAUAUGGCUACAUAUCCACGAAGUGUCCACACUACCAGACACAGAGUAAUGUCCAG